CGCGGUCGGGCGCGAACGCCGCGUAAAAAUUAAUAUUUAGUUGCGCGAAAUCAUUACCUUGACCCGAGACUCCUCCGGGACGGGCGUUCAGCCAGAACAGCAGCGCCAAGACCAAAAUCGCGGGACGGCUGACCGUCGCGGCCACGGUUCCGGCCAUCAUCAUCACCGGUGUCGCGGUGAACGCGAGAAGACGAAACGGAGAAAAAAACCCGAGGGAGAAAAGAUCGGCGCGGCGAAACGUUUGUCGCGGGAGCGUACGCGGUACGGUCGUACGGCAGAGACGGACGGCCGACGGGUGCGAUCGACGGCGAAAACAGUAGCGGCAGUACAAUGCGAAACGCGAAACGCGAAAAAAAAAAAAUAAAUAAAAUUACAAAGACAAUAUUCACGCGUAAAAAUAAAUAUUUAUCGUCGCGGUAAUACGCGGCGGAGGUUCGGUGUCGGGGACGAGUGUCGUCAACCGGCGUCGUACAUCGCGAACGGCGGGUACUGGCGUAACGGCACGGGGAUUCGCACUGGCCGGUCUCGGGCGCUCGCGGAACACGUCUGGCGUCGCGGGCAGAAUACGCGGACGGACGCGCUCGGGCGGCGAAACGGCGAGCGGGGUUGGUGACGACGA